UGGGGAAUAUUGCACAAUGGGCGCAAGUCUGAUGCAGCCAUGCCGCGUGUGUGAAGAAGGCCUUCGGGUUGUAAAGCACUUUCAGCGGGGAGGAAGGCGUUAAGGUUAAUAACCUUGGCGAUUGACGUUACCCGCAGAAGAAGCACCGGCUAACUCCGUGCUAGCAGCCGCGGUAAUACGGAGGGUGCAAGCGUUAAUCGGAAUUACUGGGCGUAAAGCGCACGCAGGCGGUCUGUCAAGUCGGAUGUGAAAUCCCCGGGCUCAACCUGGGAACUGCAUUCGAAACUGGCAGGCUAGAGUCUUGUAGAGGGGGGUAGAAUUCCAGGUGUAGCGGUGAAAUGCGUAGAGAUCUGGAGGAAUACCGGUGGCGAAGGCGGCCCCCUGGACAAAGACUGACGCUCAGGUGCGAAAGCGUGGGGAGCAAACAGG
rnacentral:rRNA from 1 species